rnacentral:rRNA from 1 species
AUGCACGACUCGGGCGCCGCCGCGGCUGUCCGGCCACAGGUCUCCGGCCCGGUGACGCCGGUGGACCAGGACGAGCCUGCGAUGGGCGAGGAGCCGUGCACACUGCGGGUGCGGCUCCCGGACGGGCGGUUCAUCUGCAAGACCUUCGGCGCCGGGCGUCCAGCGACGGCGUUGUUCCGGUACUGCCACUCGGCGCUUACCGCCAGCUACGGCGCGGAAGUCAGGAUGCGGCCGUUUCGGCUCCUGAAGCUCGCCGGCGGCGCCACCGAUGAGAUACGUCCUGACGGAUCGCUGCUGCGGGACCUCGGGCUGCACCAUUGCACCAUCCACCUGGUCUUCUGGGUUUAG